GAACGAAGACACAUGCACGAACGUGUCAUAUUAUCCGAUACAAAUAGAUAAAUAAUCAAUUAUGUACAAGUAUAAACAUGGUGUACAAGUUACGGCUUUGGAUAUCGUCGUGGCGCCAAUUUCGCGCAGUCAAAAAAAAAAAAAAAAAAAAUUGACGCUUCCUCCCUUUUAUCGAUUUUCGUCGUCGACGACCCCUCCCGCCAAGAUGUAACAAUCAUUAUUAAACGGAGCACAGCUCCGUAGAAAACAGCGUUAUAUAUAUCACAUAAUUUCAGGCUACCAUAUUUCUACGUCAUUUUCUUCGUACUCGUUCUUCCCGAAGUCGUCUUACAUCUAGUGUGUGACAGUAUUAUUAAAUCGCCUAAACGGUAAUCACUCGAAACAUUUGGUCAGUAUCUAUAAUUUCCGACUUCCUAUUCGGCCGUUUUAUCGUGAUUAAUGUCGAUUAAAUUUCUAUCGAUUUUUCAUCUUCCAAACACUAAAACAUUAUAGUUAUUUAAAUUCUUCUUCAAUAUUUCAAAUUAAAUUUUUAUCAAAUUAUGUACAGAGCAUUUUAACGAAAUAGUAACGAUUAGUAUAACUUUGUAUUAACAAUUAAAAUCGAAACAAGAUUGAAUUUUUCUACUUUUAUCUUAUUACUGGCGCCAUCUGAUAUUAACUCGACAAAGAUGAUAUCUGCCGUCCUCGUAAGGUAAAGUCACUUUACAAAUCGAAGAAAGAAAUCGAAGAUGAAAAUCUCAACCAUCAAUUCACGUUAAUCACGACGAAAUCAGCCACAGUUCAACCGAAACGCGCGACUUCGAUCGAAUUAUUUUACAGAGAAUCUCGCGCGUUUACCAAAGGGAGCAAGAAAAAGCGAAGGAGAGAGGAGCCAUUAGCUCGUGCUUAAAACCGUGUCUUCUAUCCUUGUCGAGAUUACCUCAACAUACGAUUGAACGACAGUAGUGCGAGUUUCUUUUUGCUGGUUCUUUGCUCGAUGCCAUGAACCAUUAUCUUGUUCUUCUUUUCUUUAGAUUCAAUCGAGCGCAAAGUUCAAAUAAGUUUCUCAGGCUCCUCUAAAUCUGCCAAUGUCUGCCACGACCCAAGAUUUCGAUCGAUUAAUCAGUCGUUCGAUUUAUCGAUGAAUCGACUUCUCUAGUCACAAGAGACAAAAAGUUAACUAUCAGCGAAACGAUAUUACUAAGAUUUCAUUAUUAUUUAUUGUCUUUUUUCAAGCAAUUUGAUCACUUUCUUACCAAAAAAUUUUCGAGAACACGUCGCCUUGUAAUCACGGUGCAAAUAAUAAUCUAUUUCGAAGUGUAAUCCAACAAGGAUCCUAAACCGAAUCUACAAACACCUAACAAAUUUUUCUCCGUGGAUAAAUAAAGAAAUGCAAGAAUGGUCCAAGUCAUCGAGCAGCGAACCAUCUUUGAGAACAGAGUCUAGAGGAGAUGCUCUUCAGCCUGUGCUGCGAUAUCGACCGAUUCGUCCGUUGCCUACAGAUCCGCCAAAUCACGAAAAUGAUGACGGCGAGAAUCGUGAUGAUGGCGAGGAGGCCAAGACCCAAGUGAAGGGGAGGCAGUUGCAGAAGGACAGAACAGUGAGUCAGAGCCUCAUCGUAUCCUGAUGGACAAUGAGAGAUUCCAUCGCACCACAGAGAAGCGUUUAUGCACGCAUCCAGCUCUGGACAUCGCUGUUCGCAAUCACGUGGCAUCUGCAAUCCUGCUGUCGAUGUUACCGAUGGUUAGAAAUUCGAGCGAAGGAAAAAUUGAAUAAAUUCUGAAUUGGAAUACUUUCUAAGAGGAUUGAGAAAUUUGGAUAUCGUUUUAUCAUGAAAAAUGCAUCACAUUAGAUAUGAGCUCGAGCCAGGUGACCGUGUACGUAUCCGGUUCCUUGAUAAUAAACUCGAUGGCUAUAGUCCUGAUGGGGUCCUGACCCGGGACCAGAAUCAUGGCAUUGCUGCUGACGGCCCAGCCGUCGCUGAAAACUUCGACCACGUGGUGUCUAAACUCCGCAGGUGGUUUCGGGCACACCGACACGUGUAUCGUGCCACCGGUAUUGAUUCGGCCCAGGAUCUAUCAGCCAUGGAUGCUUCUCACAAUUUUUCUGGAGACGAGAUUAAUCAAAUAUAAUAACGUGAUUCAAUUGUUCACAAAUUUUCUCAACUCUCAAGAUCAACGAGACCUUCUUAAUUCAUCAUAAAUCAAAGUGUCUCACCUCGUCCUCGUCGACUAUUGGAGCUUUGUACUUGAUCUCUCCGGAAGGCCCCCUCACCCUCCUCUUCUGCAAGCAAGGAAUCGUCUUGACGAAUUCCCAUAUGCCUUCGAAGAACAGAUUAUUGUAAUCGUCCAACGCGUCCAUAGAUCUGACGGUGAAGUGCACCUCGACGAUGUUCGAGGUCGAUUUGAUGUUGAUCGGCAGUGAUCGAUUGGAACACAGGCAGUCUCGUUGCACGGGCGGCGCGUUCGGCCAUGGAAGAUCUAGCACCUGUGGAUAUCGAGCCGUGAUUCGGUCCCGCGGGUCGCUUGCCAUUUAAUUAGCCGUCUGAUUAUAUUAUAAUUGCAGGGGGACAAACAUGACGGCCGGGUAUCGAGAGCAUAAGCGUUCCUAAUUGCGCUUUAAAUUCGCGAGCUGGUGACCCUCGUAAAUUCUGGAAUCGAUAACGAAGUUGGAACGAACGAUGGUAACCACCGUUUUCGGAUCGAAAUUUUAGAUUUAUUCGGCUUUUGCCCACCGCUGCCACUCCGAUUACCGUUUACACGCCGAAUUUCUGAUAAAGUUUUAAUGAAAACGCGCCCUCGUUAAUUACGACCUCUCCCCACUCGUUCUCGCGAGUUGGGAAAAUUGUGUCGAUAGAGGUCCUCUCGAUCGCCACCAGGAAACUUUAAAUUAAAAUCGUUGCUCAUUUGUGAUUGGUGUUCGAAUCUUAUUUGCGAUUCCAUUGGUGGACUUCUAAAGAUUUAUCGGUUCUAGGUCUUUUUGUGAUUUUAAAGAGUGUGGAUAUUUUAUGCGUUAUGUUGUUCUUUUACACGAGGCAUGUUUAGUGUUAAAAAAAAUAUUUGAAUAUUUAUAUUAAAAGUGAAAUUCGAUAGAUAAUUACGAUAUUGUGAUUAGAUAGUCAAGGAAUCAGAAAUUUUAUCUCGUAAAUGUGAAUGUGUUUGUUUUCGAAUUGUUUUCCUUCUCGCAUCGGUAUUCAAUUCAUUUCUACACAAUGUCGGGAAGAGAUUCUUAUACGUUAUUGAAGCAAAUUUAAAUCGGUUUAUCUUUCGAAGUGUAACAACAUUGAAAAGGAAAUAAUUGUUUCGAUCUCUGUGAUUAAUUUUUGAACAAGGCUCUAUCGUUCUCGAUUAUCCGAACAACACCGACUUGCCAGUUAUCGCACAUUUGCUCGCCGACGUUAAUAACUCUAUUCACGAGAGAUGAAUGGGGGCCCCUCUAGCGAUCUCGUGUCGUGCAAAUAUAAAACGGGGCAAUACCCAUUCAAAGUUCGUUUCGAAGAUUAAUUGGAACACGUGCCGUGUUAUUAACAGAUCGAGGAAAGGAAAUAUUUGAAACAAGUUCUGCGCUUUCAAUUGUUGAAACAAGAAAACGUCAAAAAUUGCAAAACUAUCUGAACCAAAAACUAUAUCGAUAGACGUGAUACGUUACAUACGUGGUACAAUCAAAGCAAAAAUUUUUCCUCUAAAAUUUAUUCGCAAAAUAUAUAAGUAUGUAUGAAAAAAAUAUUUUCAUAAACUGAAAAUAUCCACGUAAGUACUUAUACGAUUUUUCCACACGAAUUCGUACUAAUCGGAAAUUAAUUUACAGGCGAAAAAAGGGAUUGAUUGAAACGGAACGAUGAGACUCACCUUCACGAAAAAGUUCUCCGAUCCAACGCAGAGGAGCCGAUUAAAGUCUGCGCUGGAGACGCUGCGGCACGUCCUGUUCCCGUUCAAAAGCUUGUUGAACCGCAGCUUCACGAUCUCGUCGUGCUCGCCCUCGAAUCGAUACACGCAGCUGGAAAAUCCGUUGUAGCCUGUACUAAUGGAAUUUACAUGGUCGGCCGGCCACGCAAAGGAAAUCGCAUCCUCGAUCCUGAUACCACAGGUUGCACGAGAGAUUACGAGGAGGGGCAGAUCAACCAUGGUCAAUGAUGUUUCUCGUUCGUUAACCGAUCGUCGGUUUCCCUUGCGGUAAUUUGAAGAGACAAGGGAAGGGAAAGGAAGAGGUUGAAGGAAAUAGUAUAUAAGAAGUAGGAAUUUUAAUUUGAACCAAUUUUUCUUAGUUUCUAUGGUAUAUGAAAUUGUAUUUGAACGAUAAAUGGAAUGAGAUGAAGAAAAAUGAAGAAAUGGAAAGAUGAGGAAUAGAAAUUUUAAUCCGGAUCAAUUUUCCUUGGCCUCUGUUAUAUUUCAUUCCUCUUUCGCAUGGCGUGUAAUCACAAUUGAGAACAAAGUAAACGGGUAUCCGUCACGCAGCAGCUAUGGAAUUCUAUUUGGAACGGUAAACAAAUGAUAAGUAAACAACGAUCGACGUGAAAAAGCGAAUUGUAUAUAUGGUUAUACAACCGAUCAGAGUGCACGUCUCUCGAGGAAGAUGUUAUUUCUCUCGUGUCGAAUAUGAAAAGGUGUAAAAAUCCAUUUUUAUGGUCUCGCGAAGCGAGUGGAACGGUUUAAUGGAUGGGCAAGGAAAGUUUGAUUGGGAUUGGAUCGAUUGAGGAGUUGUUCACGCGAGGAUUGAAACGGAGUAAGAGUUGAAUUCGGUGUCAAUGGAACUUUAGGUGAGGUUUGACUUUCCUUUCUGUGGAUUUUGUAGGUUGAAGUUUGAAAAAGAGAAAGAGGAAGAGAGAGAGAGGGAGAGUUGUCAAAGUUGGAAGGAUAAACAGAGGGAAAUUUGUAAUAGGGAUGGUGGUUGGGUAAAGGUCUCUUGGAUUUGUUUGUAGUUGAGCACGAGAAAGCUUGGAAAACGAAGAAGGGGAAGUUUUCGAUGAGGGAAUAGUGAUUCUAUUUUUAAGAUUCGCUUUGGAGAGAGGGGAAUAAUAGUGAGAGAUAAGGGGAAAAGAGUCGAAAGAGAAAAAUGCUCUAAACGAAUAGCUUUCAUAAUACUUUUCCAAUCUUAAGUUGGUGAAAGUUUUUACUUUGUUAAACUCAUAACUAUGAAAAGAAAAAGAUUUUAAAGGAGGAGGAAUUCGUUACUGUAUAGAAUGUCAUAUCUGAUUUUUAACAUUUAAGUUUUCUCUGUAUUAUUUAUUUGUGAUGAAAAAUGUUUAUUUGUAAUUCAGAUAAAAGUUGAAUGGUGUCAAAAAAUGCAUAAUCUUUGUUCUUAAUUCUUUCUGCAUAAAGAUGAAGAUCAAUCUUUUUUCCUUGUUUUUUUUUUUGAAUACUUUUUACUGCUUAAAAAUUUUUGCAAAAUUUAUUCCAUCAUAAAAAAUCAUAAAAUCCUUUCCUCGAUUCAAUUUUUAUUUGAAACGUUUAUUCGUUACGAAUAAUAAUAUUAAAAAAAUCAAUGUGAUACACUUUAUUCCAUACUUUCUUUAUUGUUAAAAAAUCUGAACAUUAAAAAAAAAAAAAAA